GUAGUGAGUUCGCUCAGAUCCUCCGCAGGAUGGGAAAUGUAGUUCUCAAUCGGACAGUGACUCUGAUCGAUACAGCAUGAUGAACUAAUGACGGACUGGACUCAAAGCGGCGCUGCUCACCCAACCCGUCUUUGUGUUAGCCCACUUUAAUUUCACAGCAUUCAUCUCAGGAUGGCUCUACUUUUGCUUGUCGUGUUAUUAAGUGUCAACAUCGGGGGGUCGGUAGUGGCACAGCUUUAUACCAACCACUGGGCAGUGCGCAUCGCAGGAGGUCAACAACAAGCGGAUCAGAUCGCAGCAAAGUAUGGAUACAGGAACUUGGGACAGAUAGGGAGUCUGGAUGAUCAUUACCAUUUCCACCACAGCAGAGUGGUUCGCAGAGCUGCAUUCUCUUUGAAGGGUCCUCACCGCUUCAUCCACAUGGAUCCUAAGGUGGACUGGGCCCAACAGCAGGUAGUAAAACCCAGAGUCAAAAGGCAUGCCCCAAGUGACGUAAACGUCAUUCACUUCAAUGACCCUAAAUGGUCCAACAUGUGGUACAUUCACUGCAAUGAUAAGAGCCACCAUUGUCGCUCAGAGAUGAAUAUUCUGGCAGCAUGGCAGAGGGGCUACACCGGCAAAAAUGUGGUGAUCACGAUAGUGGAUGAUGGCAUUGAGAGGAACCACCCUGACCUGGCUCAGAACUAUGACCACCUUGCAAGUUAUGAUGUCAAUGGAAAUGACCAUGACCCUACACCACGUUAUGACUCCCGCAGCGAGAACAUACAUGGAACUCGGUGUGCAGGUGAAGUUGCAGCAGCAGCCAACAAUUCCCACUGCAUUGUUGGGAUUGCCUACAAUGCUCACAUUGGAGGGAUUCGAAUGCUGGAUGGUGAUGUGACUGAUAUAGUGGAGGCCAAGUCCUUGGGAAUUCGACCCGACUACAUUCAUAUCUACAGUGCUAGCUGGGGCCCAAAAGAUGAUGGCAAGACAGUAGAUGGUCCAGGGCCCCUAACCAAGCAGGCUUUUGAGCAAGGCAUCAAGAAGGGACGCAGAGGACUAGGGUCCAUUUUUGUGUGGGCAUCAGGUAACGGAGGUCGGCAGGGAGAUCACUGUUCAUGUGAUGGUUAUACCAGCAGUAUCUACACCAUCUCCAUCUCCAGCACUACGGAGAAUGGAAACAAGCCCUGGUACCUGGAGGUCUGCAGCUCCAUCAUGGCUACAACAUACAGCAGUGGGGAGUUCAAUGAGAGGAAGCCUGUAACCACUGAUGUCUGGCAGCGCUGCACUGAUGGUCAUACUGGCACCUCGGUCUCUGCUCCCAUUGUGGCUGGAAUUAUAGCUCUCACCUUGGAGGCCAACCUUUUACUCACAUGGAGGGAUGUGCAGCAUCUUCUCGUGAAGACAUCCAGACCCGUCCACCUGAAAGCUGAUGACUGGAAUACCAAUGCUGCUGGAUACAGAGUCAGUCACCUGUAUGGUUUUGGCCUAGUGAAUGCAGAGGCCAUGGUGCUCGAGGCUGCGAAAUGGAGGACUGUUCCCCCUCAACACAUCUGCAUUCAGAGGCCUGAGCAACGCACCAGGCUCAGGCAUGUCCAUGUUGGCCAAAGCCUGAACAGCAGCAUUACCACCUCUGGAUGUUCAGACGAACCUGACCAGCAUGUGGAAUACCUGGAGCAUGUGGUGGUCACUGUCUUGAUUGUCCACCCACGACGGGGAGACCUAGAGAUCAACCUCAUCUCUCCAUCUGGGACAAGGUCUCAGUUACUGGCCAAGAGGUUGUUUGACAAUUCCAAUGAGGGCUUCAGGAAUUGGGAGUUCAUGACAGUUCAUUUUUGGGGUGAGAGGGCAGCAGGCACUUGGUCCAUGGAGAUUAUUGACUCACCCUCAAAGCUGCGCAACCCUAAUGUGCUGGGCAGCCUGAAAGAGUGGACUCUGACCCUUUACGGCACAUCUCAGAACCCUUACCAGCACUACAGUGCUCAGCACUCCCUUUCAAGGAGGUUGGAGGUCCUCACACCACAGGAGGCCAUGGAGGAACCUGAGCUCCAGGAGGAGGAAGAAGAUGAGGAGUACAGAGGGCCAGGUAAGGAGGAGUGCAUCCAGUGUGCUGAGGGUUACCUGCAACAGGAGUGGAGGUGUGUGCAGGACUGCACUCCUGGAUAUUUCUCUGGAGAGGCAGCAGGGCUCCCUCAUAAGAUGUGCCACAGGUGUGAAGAAAACUGUCUGAGUUGCAGUGGUCCUGGAACAACAUGCACCAAAUGCAAAGCAGGGUACAGUCUCAUCAGCAGGACUUGCAUAGCGAAUGCAUCCUGUAAUAAUGACCAAGUGGGAAGGAUAAAGGCCAGUUCAGAGUGCACAGGUGGCACAUGUGCUUCCAUGGACAAUGGAUGGAAACAUACAAAGAGGCAGAGGAGUUCGCGUGAGAGGUGGUGGACGAGGAGGAAGAGGCAGAGGAAGAGGACGAGGACGAGGAAGAGGAAGAGGAAGAGGAAGGGGAAGGGGAAGGGGAAGGGGAAGGGGAAGGGGAAGACCUAGAACAGUCAUCACGGAUGAAAUUCGGGCAACUAUUGUCCACCAUGUCCUGGUUCAUGGGAUGACAAUGAGAGAAGCAGGACAAAGAGUCCAACCCAAUUUGAGCAGGUUCUCUGUCGCAGGCAUCAUCAGGACAUUCAGAGAAGACAACAGGUAAUUGUGUCUUCGACAUACAUGUAUUUAAUGUAUAUGUUUUUGACAUCAAGAAUACUACAGUACUUUACUGUAAGUACUGUAAUGCUCAUUACAAUACUGUUUUUACUGGCUGGAUAUGUUUGUAAGUGCAUUUUACUCUUUGUAGAAUGGAAAGACGACCACAGGAGGGAGGAAGGCCUUCUAUGUUCUCCCAACAGCUAGAAAGACUCAUUGUUGACAUGGUCCUUCAACAUAAUGCCAUCCGACUCUGGGAUAUCCAGCAGAGAGUGAUUGAAGACCAUGUCAACUUUGAUGGAAUCGAUAGUGUGUCUGUGUCAACUAUUGCUCGUGUCCUCCAACGAAACAGACUCGGCAUGAAACAAUAGUACAGGGUACCCUUUGAGCGCAACUCUGCAAGAGUCAAAGAUUUAAGAUCUCAGUAUGUGCAGAGUGUUUGAACUGCAUUCCAUGGAAAGGCGCCAUGAAUACAUUUUCAUAGAUGAAGCAGGUUUCAAUCUGGCAAAAAGGAGGCAGAGAGGCAGGAACAUAAUUGGUCAACGUGCCAUUGUGGAAGUACCUGGCCAGCAUGCUGGCAAUAUCACCCUUUGUGCAGCCAUAAGUAACUGGGGGGUUCUCCACCGUCAUGCAACCUGGGGCCAUACAACACUGAACAUCUCCUGGCAUUUCUAGGUGGUCUACAGAAUGUUAUGACUGAACGUGAGCAGCAGAAUCAGCAAGAAGUGCAUCCUAUAUAUGUCAUAGUUUGGGACAAUGUGAGGUUUCACCGUGCUGUCCUGAUUCGUGAGUGGUUCACUAACAACCAGCGCUUCAUCAAGGUUUUCCUUCCACCCUACAGCCCCUUCCUGAAUCCAAUAGAGGAGUUUUUCUCUGCAUGGUGGUGGAAGGUCUAUGAUUAACAGCCCUACACCAGGGAAAAUUUAUUGGAGGCAAUGGAACAGGCCUGUGAUGAGAUAACUGCAGAGUCUUGUCAAGGCUGGGUUCGGCACACCAGAGGGUUCUUCCCCCCCGUUGUUUGGCAAGGGAAAUAAUUGCCUGCGACGUCGAUGAAGUCCUCUGGCCAGACCCUGCACAAAGACAAGAUGUUGGAGACUGAAUCUCCAUGACCGUGACUGUGCAGUAGUGUGCUUUUGUUUUGUAUUUAUUUUUUUGUUAUGAAAGUGAAUUUAGAUAUCACUUUGACUUCGAUGAUUUUUAAAAAAAAAUUUGAUAAAUGCAUUUACAGUAAAAUAAACAUUUUCUGUUCACUACAUGGACUGCGUGCUGUGUCCAAAGUUAUUUCAUGUCGUGUCUAAUGAAUGAUCUGAGGUGAACAUGUUUUUACUUGCUGUGUGUAAGAUCUGAACACACAGUUUGGUUUUGAACACAGGAGAACUGGUUUUGAUGUGAUAGUAUGAUUUUUGACAGAAAAGUUUGAGGUUUUGUGAAUGUAGUUUGAAUUUUUGGAUUUGUGUUUAAGGUUUUGAGAAAAUGGGUAGAGGUUUCAAGAGGUGUGUUUUAGCAAUUGUGAAAAACUGUAAAGGAAUUGUGUCCAGUGUGUCCAUGUCUCUCUCUCUUUGGAGAUGCACACAUAGAUCCUGCUGCUGUCUGAUGCUGCAGGUAUUAAACAAAUUAUGAGGCAAUAGUGACAAGCAGCUGGAAGAAACUGACUUCAGGUCCUCUUACAGUUUUUCUUGAUUGCUAAGACACAUUCCUGGAAAGCUGCUCUCCUUUUCCCUAAACUGUGAACCCAAACCCAAUUUUGAAGCUACAUUCACAAAACCUCUGACUCUUCUUGCAAAACCAAACUUUCACCCCAAAAACAGUUCAAUAUGUGCUCAAAACUGAACUAAGCUGUCAAAUCAUGCCUCAAGUCAAUCGAAAUUAAAUACUCUGAGUAGUGACUAAACACUACAUAGAAAAAAGAAAACACAAUGCUCAGGACAUGAGGCGGUAGAAAUAAAUGUUUAUUUAGGCUAAAUGCAUGUUACAAAACAAAAUACCUGGGCAAUUGUAACACUUGUACAUAGAAAAAAUAAUUUGCAAAAAAACAAAUCCUGUGCAUUUACAUGUAGCACUUUUACAUAAAAAUAAAGCACACAAAUGUACAAAGAAAAGAAGUACAUUACUCUGCCACAGCAUCAUUUCUUCGUACUGGGUCAGGCCACAGGACUGCCUCUACAUCACAGGCCACAUUUCUCUGGCCAGGCAACGGGGAAAAAACCCUGGCAUGCCGUAUCCAUGCUCCUCUUUUUAGAUUUCUAUCCAUUGUAGUGCCUCACAAACCAGUGCUUUGGCUUAUAUGUAUCCUCACAUCAUUAGCCACAAGUGUGAUCAAUU